rnacentral:rRNA from 1 species
GAUGAACGCUAGCGGCAGGCUUAACACAUGCAAGUCGAGGGGUAUAGUAGCAAUACUAGAGACCGGCGCACGGGUGCGUAACGCGUAUGCAGUCUACCUUAUACAGGGGGAUAGCCCAGAGAAAUUUGGAUUAAUACCCCAUAGUGUUAUUUGAUGGCAUCAUUAUAUAACUAAAGUUCCAACGGUAUAAGAUGAGCAUGCGUCCUAUUAGCUAGAUGGUAAGGUAACGGCUUACCAUGGCUACGAUAGGUAGGGGUCCUGAGAGGGAGAUCCCCCACACUGGUACUGAGACACGGACCAGACUCCUACGGGAGGCAGCAGUGAGGAAUAUUGGACAAUGGGCGCAAGCCUGAUCCAGCCAUGCCGCGUGCAGGAAGACGGUCCUAUGGAUUGUAAACUGCUUUUGUACGGGAAGAAACACUCCCUCGUGAGGGAGCUUGACGGUACCGUAAGAAUAAGGAUCGGCUAACUCCGUGCCAGCCGCCGCGGUAAAAC